rnacentral:rRNA from 1 species
CAAUAGCGUAUAUUAAAGUUGUUGCGGUUAAAAAGCUCGUAGUUGGAUUUCAGCCAAGGACGACCGGUCCUGCUUCGGUAGGAACCUGGUUUGGCCGAGGCAUCUCUUGGUGUACGUGCAGGUGAUUGAUUUUGCCUCACGGACUCCAGGGCUUUUACUUUGAGGAAAUUAGAGUGUUCAAAGCAGGCUAUCGCUCUGAAUACUACAGCAUGGAAUAACAUGAUAGGACUCCGAGCCUAUUCUGUUGGUCUUCGGGACCGGAGUAAUGAUUAAGAGGGACAGUUGGGGGCAUUCGUAUUCCGAUGUCAGAGGUGAAAUUCUUGGAUUAUCGGAAGACGAACAUCUGCGAAAGCAUUUGCCAAGGAUGUUUUCAUUAA